CACGUAGGGCGCAAGCGUUGUCCGGAAUUAUUGGGCGUAAAGAGCUCGUAGGCGGUCUGUUGCGUCCGCUGUGAAAACCCAGGGCUUAACCCUGGGCUGGCAGUGGAUACGGACAGACUAGAGGUAGGUAGGGGAGAAUGGAAUUCCCGGUGUAGCGGUGAAAUGCGCAGAUAUCGGGAGGAACACCGGUGGCGAAGGCGGUUCUCUGGGCCUGACCUGACGCUGAGGAGCGAAAGCGUGGGGAGCGAACAGG
rnacentral:rRNA from 1 species